rnacentral:rRNA from 1 species
GGAUAACCUACCCUUAGGACUGGGAUAACCCUGGGAAACUGGGGAUAAUACCGGAUAGGCAAUUUUUCCUGUAAUGGUUUUUUGUUUAAAUGUUUUUUCGCCUAAGGAUGGGUCUGCGGCCGAUUAGGUAGUUGGUUAGGUAAUGGCUUACCAAGCCGUUGAUCGGUACGGGUUGUGAGAGCAAGAGCCCGGAGAUGGAACCUGAGACAAGGUUCCAGGCCCUACGGGGUGCAGCAGGCGCGAAACCUCCGCAAUGUGAGAAAUCGCGACGGGGGGAUCCCAAGUGCCAUUCUUAACGGGAUGGCUUUUCAUUAGUGUAAAGAGCUUUUGGAAUAAGGGCUGGGCAAGACCGGUGCCAGCCGCCGCGGUAACACCGGCAGCUCUAGUGGUAGCAGUUUUUAUUGGGCCUAAAGCGUCCGUAGCCGGUUUAAUAAGUCUCUGGUGAAAUCCUGUAGCUUAACUGUGGGAAUUGCUGGAGAUACUAUUAGACUUGAGACCGGGAGAGGUUAGAGGUACUCCCAGGGUAGAGGUGAAAUUCUGUAAUCCUGGGAGGACCGCCUGUUGCGAAGGCGUCUAACUGGAACGGUUCUGACGGUGAGGGACGAAAGUUAGGGGCGCGAACCGGAUUAGAUACCCGGGU